rnacentral:rRNA from 1 species
UACGGGGGGGGCAAGCGUUGUUCGGAAUUACUGGGCGUAAAGGGCUCGUAGGCGGCCAACUAAGUCGGAUGUGAAAUCCCCAGGCUCAACCUGGGAACUGCAUCCGAUACUGGAUGGCUUGAAUUCGGGAGAGGGAUGCAGAAUUCCAGGUGUAGCGGUGAAAUGCGUAGAUAUCUGGAGGAAUACCGGUGACGAAGGCGGCAUCCUGGACCGACAUUGACGCUGAGGAGCGAAAGCCAGGGGAGCAAACGGG